rnacentral:rRNA from 1 species
UACGUAGGGGGCAAGCGUUGUCCGGAUUUAUUGGGCGUAAAGCGCUCGCAGGCGGCUUGAUACGUCGUGCGUGAAACACCCCGGCUCAACUGGGGAGGGUCGUGCGAUACGGUCAGGCUUAGGCCAGUAGGGGGAUGCGGAAUUCCGGGUGUAGUGGUGGAAUGCGUAGAGAUCCGGAGGAACACCAGCGGCGAAGGCGGCAUCCUGGACUGGUUCUGACGCUCUGAGCGAAAGCGUGGGGAGCGAGUCCGGA